rnacentral:rRNA from 1 species
CAGCCGCCGCGGGAAUACGUAGGGUGCGAGCGUUAAUCGGAAUUACUGGGCGUAAAGCGUGCGCAGGCGGUGCUGCAAGACCGAUGUGAAAGCCCCGGGCUUAACCUGGGAACUGCAUUGGUGACUGCAGCGCUGGAGUAUGGCAGAGGGGGGUGGAAUUCCACGUGUAGCAGUGAAAUGCGUAGAGAUGUGGAGGAACACCGAUGGCGAAGGCAGCCCCCUGGGCCAAUACUGACGCUCAUGCACGAAAGCGUGGGGAGCAAACAGGAUUAGAUACCCCAGUAGUCCCUGUCUCUUAUAC